rnacentral:miRNA from 1 species
CUCCAAAUACACAACAGGAAUA